rnacentral:pre_miRNA from 1 species
UACAUACUCCCUCCGUUCGGAAUUACUCGUCCAAGAAAUGAAUGCAUCUAGAUGUAUUUUAGUUGUAGAUACAUCCAUUUUUGUGACAAGUAAUUCCGAAUGGAGGGAGUACUAC